GCCGUGUUCUGGCUGUGUUGUUUACUUUCUCUUGUGUUCUAAAAGUUCUAUUGCAGGGUCAAACAUCUUUUAAUGGAUUGAGCUGAGUGGUCCCACAUCAACAGUGUCCAGAGACAGUCCUGUAUAUGUGCAUGCCUCUUCCUUGCGUGCUUCUCCUGCACCAUGUACAGCCUCCAAAAAUCAGCCCGCAGCCACUGUGUCAAGAACAGAGGGUACUGAUGUACCUUCAGCGCCAGUGAAGGCCCCCAUUCCAGUCCCAGUGGAACUUCUGCGUGUGUUCGUGGAGCCCAUUGAAGCAGUAGCGCAAAGUAUGGCAUUGAACCUUACCCAAUGCCCCUGCCACACAUGAGCCAGAGACACGCCUGGAUGAAGCAGUAAUGCAGCCAGCAACAACUUCUCCCCCUCCGUCUCCAUUCCCUCCAAGCUAUGACCAGGAGCUCCUUCACUGGAACUGUUCACAACAGCAGAGGGUGUGGAUGAAGACCGAAUCGGGGGAUUUGGGCCUAUGGCCAGGGUCACGACCUGUAAGACAUCUCAUGAAUGUGGUCUCGCUAUGGCGUCACCCUCCUCAGCCGGAGCUCAUUGACCAUUUAUCAGACCUGCCUUCUCCCAAUUAUUUCCAGCUCCAUCCUCUUUUUAUUUGGAAGCCAGAAUCGUCCUUAAUGGAGAGGGCGAGAAACAAUUACGUUCUGCCCUGUCUCCACGGCUGCAGUCAUCCCCAGAUUGCCUCUGCUGGUGUGGGGAGGCCACGUGCAGUUGUAGGAAGUAGUGGACAGUACUACGUGUUUGCCUCCAGCCUUUGCUGCAAGGCAUGCAGGAAGUAUUGGUUCGAAGAUAACCCCCAAUGGCUGUGCAUGCUGCCGUCCAGAUUAAAAAACAUCCUCCCAGGCACUCUCACUUAUAAAAAAGCCAUAUGCAAAUCCAUCGUGCAUGAGCUGAGACGGACUGGGAAGUCUCCGGGUGAUAUGGCCAACCAGGUCAUGGAGACGCUCCACUGGCCUACCUGCACAGGUCCUCAGAUCGGACCACACCCGGAAGGUCGCCAGGAAGGUGACCUUAACAACAGGCACCAUGUCAUCAUAUGCCGUGAUGAACGAGAACUGGAUGAUCCUCUCCUGGGUGAUGGUCCAGUCUGAGAGUGAGGCAUCACUGGAGCCUUUAUAUGAAGGACUGGCACAAAGGUACACCACUGCUGGAGUACAAAAAGCCAGCUACCAGUGGAUGGACAGGGACUGUUGUGAUGACGAAAUAGUGACAAAUAGUAUCUAUCACUCCUCCAAAGGAUCAAAAGCCAGUGGCACACAAUGCUCCAAUUGACCCUGAACUUUCAUACCAAGUAAUGUAUCUGGUGGUUCAAUUAAUGUUUUUAAUCCUUUUAUUAAGUUUGAAGACAGUUGCUGUUCAUUCUGCUUUUCUAAGUAAAGGCUUGUUAUUUCA